UAGGACGUAAAAGGUCAUAUGGUACUAGAAGAUAUUACUGGAAAAACAGUCCCAGCGAUUGAUGUAUUCGCACAUUCAAUUAAGGCAUUAGUCAACCAUUUGAUGGACGCUCUAAAAACACGGGGAACAGGAGUUAUGUCAAAUGAAAUACAAUGGGUACUAACAGUUCCAGCGAUUUGGACAGAUAAUUCAAAGCAAUUCAUGAGGAAAAGCGCAGAAAAGGCUGGUAUUCAAAAUGAUCAUCUUUUAAUAUCACUGGAACCAGAAGCUGCAUCAAUCCUUUGCCAAUAUCUGCCUACAGAAAAAUUAUGUGGCGCCGAAUCAGGUUUCACAAUGUCUAAAGUGGGAACUAAAUACAUGAUGGUAGAUCUUGGAGGUGGCACAGUAGACAUAACUGUUCAUGAAAAAUUGGCUGGAGGUUGUUUAAAAGAAAUCAGUAGAGCAACAGGUGGCGAUUGUGGUGGAACGUCUAUUGAUGCCGAAUUUAUACAGCUACUAACGAAGAUAUUUGGGGCACCGCUUAUUCAUGCAAUGAAACGAGAACAACCCGAGGCUUUUCUUGAUUUGAUAAGAGAGUUCGAAGUGGUAAAAAGAACAAUUACACCAUCAAAGAAUGGAAAGAUUAAUAUGGCAAAUACCUUAUGCUCCUCUUGACUCUCUUUGUAAGAAACAUCUGCAGGAAGAUUUGCUUUCUACAUUGUUAUCAUCGCCUUAUGCUAAUUGCAUUGCUUUAAGAGGAGAUAAAUUGAGAAUCGAUGCAUAUCUCUUUAAAACCCUUUUUGAUAAAACUAUAAAGAAUAUUUUGUCAUUGAUACAAGAAAUCUUAACACGCAAAGAAUCAGAAUCAGUAACAUUGCUUCUCUUAGUAGGAGGGUUUGCAUCAUGCUCAUUAGUACAAGCAGAAAUUAUGAAAGCAUUUUUACCCAGGAAGGUGAUAGUUCCGGAGGAGAGUGGUCUGGCUGUUCUAAAAGGUGCCGUUCUAUUUGGCCACAAUUCGAAAGCUAUUUACUCGCGUAAGACCCGGGUAACAUAUGGAGUUACAUGGAGUGCACCAUUUGAUCCGGCAGUCCAUGACCAACAGCACUACGUCGAGUUAAACGACGAGGCUCAAUGUAAAAACGCUUUUGACAUAAUUAUGCAGAAAGAUACAAACGCAAGGCAAGGAACUACAGUAACAAAAAACUACGGUUCGACCAAAGAUAACAAUGCCGUAGCUUUGAUAAUAUAUGCCAGCGACAAAACGUCUCCAGUAUAUACUGAUGAAGAUGGAUGUUUCUCUGUCGGGGAAGCUAUAAUUGAAAUUUCCGAUCCUUCAGAACGACAAUUUUUGGAAGUCGAAUUCAUGUUUGGAAACACUGAAGUGAGUCUACAUGCUGUAGAAAAAAAAUCAGGAAACUCUUGUCAAUUAAGUUUUGAUUUGAU